UCAUAUUUAAGGAUCCUAGCUCCCUCUCC
rnacentral:piRNA from 1 species